CACUAAAGAUCUGUCCUUGAUGGAUGCAGAAAUAUUCAAUCCUGAAACGGUUGAAAAAAGUCAAGGAGACAAGAUCACAACCUCAUACAGGUUUUUGUGCCCUCAUGCUGGUCACUUUCAGUGUAAAGUGACUGGUUUUGUGUUUGUGAUGGAGGGAG